rnacentral:lncRNA from 1 species
UGUGUGGUGCUGUGCGUCUCUGUGUAAUAAACAGAGUGUAUGCACGCUGUGGACCCGCCUAUACUAACGCGCUCUUUAAAUAACAAAAAAACUACUGCGCCAUUGACUUUAGACUUUAGACCAGGUUUGAGUUGGUGUAUGGUGCAGUCUAUUUUCAGUUCCUCAAAAUAGCAAUGCGCCUGAACACACCUCUUUUUAGACCAGCAUGCCCCUGAGUGCACAAAAGUGUGCAAAUGCAUUUGCUAUUUAAACAACGCGGCGCAGGACAGAAAAAUGAGAACUGCAUCGGAUUGAAACUAGCAAAAACACGGGUGUAUGAUAGAGCCCUAUAUUUCAGGGAGGUGGACAUUUUUCCUGAAUACCACUGAAACGCUAAAACACUGUGUCCAAGCUUUGGAAGAACAAGCAAAUGGAGACCCACAGCUGCUGAGCUGUCAGUUCUCCCUCCCUCUUCUCCUCUCCUCCAGCUCCUCCUCUUCCUCUCCUUUUUACAUUCUCCCUCUCACUGAGAGCAGGAGAUGAGCUCAGAGGGGAAAAGUUCCACCAUGUCACAGAAGAUCUCCUCUCCAUCUCAUAGCAAUAGCAGUUCCUCCUCCAACAUGACAGCAGACAGGUAAGUGUGUAUCCAUUUGAUUUGGCAGACAGUGAACUACAUUUAUAGAAGUAUCACUUUGGUACACUCUCUCAAAAAAAAAAAGUUCAAAGGCUAUCACUGGGUAUGGCACCCUUUCAAAGGUAUACCUUUGUACCUUAUUUAGAGUGAACUACAUUUAUAGAAGUAUCACUUUGGUACACUCUCUCAAAAAAAAAAAGUUCAAAGGCUAUCACUGGGUAUGGCACCCUUUCAAAAGGUAUACCUUUGUACCUUAUUUAGCCCAAAGGGGUGCAUAUUGCUACCUUAAAGGUACAUAUUAGUACCUUUUGAAAGGGUACCGUCCAGUGACAACUUUGCACCUUUUUUCUGAAACUGUAUAUAACUCAACCUGAACCUUUGGAGAGAUAACAAUUAAACCUCACAUCUUGUGGCUUUGUGUGGAAAGGUGUAACUUUUCUAAGCAAUCAAAAAAUGAUUUUCACCUGGUGAAUGAUAAAAAUGCAAAGCAAUCAAAAUGCCUAACUAACACUAUCAAUACAAAUGCACUGAGGGUGAAGACAUAAACUUCCAGCUGUUUUUUAUUGGUAUGUGUAAGAUAAAUUGAGACUCUCAGUUGUGCUGAUUUUUCAGGUUUAAUAUUUGUGCUGCUGAUACUGUAAAUAGGUAGUUGAUGUAAAAUAUUUCUGGGAAAUUGACAUCCUGUGGUGUAACAUGAAAUACAUCAUUUACUAACUGUUUUUUUUAGUCAUUUUCCUGCAUGUUUAAUGUAUUCAAAAAGUAUGGAAGCCUACACAUAAUGUCCUUAAAAAAAUAUUCUAGAACAAAUCUUCAAAAGUCUUUAUUCACAGGCCAUAAAAUACAGUGCUCAAUUCAAAGACAAUUUUUUUUUAUACCACAUCUAGCUCAUUUAGGAAACUGUACAUGACACAGGUUGAUUUUUGCUUGGCAUGUAAUCUGCUAGCAAUCACAUUGUUUACUAAAUGGCAGAAGCUGAUUGGCCUUAGCUGUAACUGCAGCCACUGAGCUUACUUUGUCAACAUUUAAAUAGUCUGGUUCAGAGACACGUGUCUAGAUCAGCUACAGGCCAUUUUAUAUAUCUACAGGUCCUUCUCAAAAAAUUAGCAUAUUGUGAAAAAGUAAAAAAUAAACUUUCAUAUAUUUUAGAUUCAUUGGACACCAACUGAAAUAUUUCAGGUCUUUUAUGUUUUAAUACUGAUGAUUUUGGCAUACAGCUCAUGAAAACCCAAAAUUCCUAGCUCACAAAAUUAGCAUAUCAUGAAAAGGUUACUCUAAACGAGCUAUUGCCAACUCUCCUGACCUGAACCCCAUAGAGAAUCUGUGGGAUAUUGUGAAGAGAAAGUUGAGAGACGCAAGACCCAACACUCUGGAUGAGCUUAAGGCCGCUCUCGAAGCAUCCUGGGCCUCCAUAACACCUCAGCAGUGCCACAGGCUGAUUGCCUCCAUGCCACGCCGCAUUGAAGCAGUCAUUUCUGCAAAAGGAUUCCCGACCAAGUAUUGAGUGCAUAACUGAACAUAAUUAUUUGAAGGUUGACUUUUUUUGUAUUAAAAACACUUUUCUUUUAUUGGUCGGAUGAAAUAUGCUAAUUUUUUGAGAUAGGAAUUUUGGGUUUUCAUGAGCUGUAUGCCAAAAUCAUCAGUAUUAAAACAAUAAAAGACCUGAAAUAUUUCAGUUGGUGUGCAAUGAAUCUAAAAUAUAUGAAAGUUUAAUUUUUAUCAUUACAUUAUGGAAAAUAAUGAAUUUUUUGAGAAGGACCUGUAUAUUUGUGCAGCAGCUGCAUGUCUGUGUGUAUGUCUGCCUACUUGCUCAGCUCUUGCAGUGAUAACAGCCGCAGAAGCAGCAAUAACAGCAGCAGGAAAGUAGAUCUAGUAUGCCUAGACCAAAUUAACAUACUAAAUUAAUUAAUAUACUUAAACUGCUCCAAAGUUUGUCUUGACUGAAAUAUACUUUUUUAUACUCAUAUAAUUAUUAACCUUAAAAUCUUGAUGUUGAUCAAAUAAAAAUUCCAUUGAUACACGCUUCUACUUAACA